rnacentral:rRNA from 1 species
UACGGAAGGCAGCAGUGGGGAAUAUUGCACAAUGGGCGCAAGCCUGAUGCAGCCAUGCCGCGUGUAUGAAGAAGGCCUUCGGGUUGUAAAGUACUUUCAGUCGUGAGGAAGGUGUUAAGGUUAAUAACCUUAGCAAUUGACGUUAGCGACAGAAGAAGCACCGGCUAACUCCGUGCCAGCAGCCGCGGUAAUACGGAGGGUGCGAGCGUUAAUCGGAAUUACUGGGCGUAAAGGGCACGCAGGCGGUUAAUUAAGUUGGAUGUGAAAUCCCCGGGCUUAACCUGGGAAUGGCAUUCAAGACUGGUUAGCUAGAGUCUUGUAGAGGGGGUAGAAUUCCAUGUGUAGCGGUGAAAUGCGUAGAGAUGUGGAGGAAUACCGGUGGCGAAAGGCGGCCCCUGGACAAAGGACUGACGCUCAUGUGCGAAAGCGUGGGGAGCAAACAGGGAUUAGAUACC